GAUGAACGCUGGCGGGUGCCUAACACAUGCAAGUCGAACGAAGCACCUUGAUUUGAUUCUUCGGAUGAAGAUCCUGGUGACUGAGUGGCGGACGGGUGAGUAACGCGUGGGUAACCUGCCUCAUACAGGAGGAUAACAGUUAGAAAUGACUGCUAAUACCGCAUAAGACCACAGCACCGCAUGGUGCAGGGGUAAAAACUCCGGUGGUAUGAGAUGGACCCGCGUCUGAUUAGGUAGUUGGUGGGGUAACGGCCUACCAAGCCGACGAUCAGUAGCCGACCUGAGAGGGUGACCGGCCACAUUGGGACUGAGACACGGCCCAAACUCCUACGGGAGGCAGCAGUGGGGAAUAUUGCACAAUGGGGGAAUACCUGAUGCAGCGACGCCGCGUGAGCGAUGAAGUAUUUCGGUAUGUAAAGCUCUAUCAGCAGGG
rnacentral:rRNA from 1 species